rnacentral:rRNA from 1 species
GGAUAACUUACCCUUAGGACUGGGAUAACUCUGGGAAACUGGGGAUAAUACUGGAUAUUAGGCUAUGCCUGGAAUGGUUUGCCUUUGAAAUGUUUUUUUCGCCUAAGGAUAGAUCUGCGGCUGAUUAGGUCGUUGGUGGGGUAAUGGCCCACCAAGCCGAUGAUCGGUACGGGUUGUGAGAGCAAGAGCCCGGAGAUGGAACCUGAGACAAGGUUCCAGACCCUACGGGGUGCAGCAGGCGCGAAACCUCCGCAAUGUACGAAAGUGCGACGGGGGGAUCCCAAGUGUCAUGCUUUUUUGUAUGACUUUUCAUUAGUGUAAAAAGCUUUUAGAAUAAGAGCUGGGCAAGACCGGUGCCAGCCGCCGCGGUAACACCGGCAGCUCGAGUGGUAGCUGUUUUUAUUGGGCCUAAAGCGUUCGUAGCCGGUUUGAUAAGUCUUUGGUGAAAGCUUGUAGCUUAACUAUAAGAAUUGCUGGAGAUACUAUUAGACUUGAAGUCGGGAGAGGUUAGAGGUACUACCGGGGUAGGGGUGAAAUCCUAUAAUCCUGGGAGGACCACCUGUGGCGAAGGCGUCUAACUGGAACGAUCUUGACGGUGAGUAACGAAAGCCAGGGGCGCGAA